rnacentral:tRNA from 1 species
GGGCCUAUAGCUCAGCCGGUUAGAGCAUCUGACUCAUAAUCAGGGGGUCCCUGGUUCGAGCCCAGGUGGGCCCACCC